rnacentral:rRNA from 1 species
AGCGAACGCUGGCGGCAGGCUUAACACAUGCAAGUCGAGCGGGCGUAGCAAUACGUCAGCGGCAGACGGGUGAGUAACGCGUGGGAACGUACCUUUUGGUUCGGAACAACACAGGGAACUUGUGCUAAUACCGAAUAAGCCCUUACGGGGAAAGAUUUAUCGCCGAAAGAUCGGCCCGCGUCUGAUCAGCUAGUUGGUGA